AGACCCCAAGCCCCGACUCCCGGCCCUGAAUCAGCGUUGCAGCAGGCCCUGCGCCUGCCGCUCCUCACAGCCCUGCGCUCCGGGAAACUGCAGGUGGUCGGCAGUGGCCAGGGGAUGGCGGGGGCGCUUCUGGAACCUGACUCAGUUUUGUAGAUUUCUUAUCUCGGUUGUUUACCGCGGGCUGAGCGGAAUGCCCCCGCUUCCGCUUCCGCCCCGCUCCGAACCCCCGAACCCCUUCUACCGGCAACUCCGCCCCGGAUUCCCAGAAAGGGGCGACCUGGGCCACUGCGGUCCAAGCUUCACCCCGAUGGACCUGAGAGACCGGAAGUAACCCUUGGCUAACUCUAGCCGCCCCCUGCAGCCGCAGCCGCAGAGGCCCACCCGCGAGCUUCAGUGGCGGGUCCUUAGCGUCGUGUAAACUUUGCUUAAAUGAUCUUGAGAGUUCAAUUCUUGGAGUGAACUAUUGAGAAGAUACGGUAUUUUUCCUUUCGAAAGUUGUUGGGAACGUGGACUUUCCCAACAGUUGUGUGUGCGUUCGACCUCACUGAGUGGGAGCCGCCGCCCUGUAGGGAAUUUAACAAUAGCCUAGUCAGGGCUGUUAUUUUCCAGAGCAGUUUAAUAUCUAUUUUGCCCAAGUGCAAGGAAAGCUUGCCUUGGAAAAGCUGGGAAUGCCUGACUGAAGAAACGUUUUUAGAGCCUUUUAAAAUGAACCUGUUUCUGCUAUUUUUCCACCGCUUCAAAAGGACUGGGAAAUGUAAAAUGACUUCAAGAUGUUCUUACUUGAGAGUGUCCGGAUUUGGACAGAACGCCAUGUUCUUUUAAUAUUAACAGUGGCACGCAGUAGAACAAAGGCCACUGAAAUUCAGAAUCAGUUUUUGGCUCCACGGAGUAGGAAGUAAAUUCAAGGACGCCAGAGGUCUUGCGAAUGUUUUAACUGGUUGACAUUUGAAAUUUGUUCUUAAGCAAAGAAGGGUGAAACCAGUAGGGGGUUAGCAUAUAGCAUAAGUAAAGCUUUUUGAGUAUCAACAAACUGCAAUAAUCUAGAACUGAGAGCGGGCUCUGGAAAGUUUGACCUGCUUUAGAGAGAGAUUUCAGAUAAGAGGAACGGAGUUUUUGGCCCUUUUCGGGUUGGUGAUUCCCCCAAAUAACCUUAGAAAAGUUUUGUUUAACAAAAAACCUGGCUCGAGCUCCAAGAUCUUUUUUUUUUUUUUUUUUGAGACAGAGUUUCACUGUUUUUGCCCAGGCUGGAGUGCAAUGGCACGGAUCUCUGCUCACCGCAACCUCCGCCUCUCGGGUUCAAGCGAUUCUCCUGCCUCAGCCUCUCAAGUUGCUGAGAUUACAGGGAUGCACCACCAUGCCCGGCUAAUUUUGUAUUUUUAGUAGAGACGGGGUUUCUCCAUGUUGAUCAGGCUGGUCUCCAACUCCCGACCUCAGGUGAUCCGCCCGCCUUAGCCUCCCAAAAUGCUAGGAUUACACGCGUGAGCCACCGCGCCCGGCCCAACUCCAAGAUCUAAACAAAAAAGACUGGGUCGAAAGGAAGUUUUGAAUGUUUACUGUUUGCUUUACAUACAUUUAAUGUUUGUAAAUGUUUGCUUUACAUACAUUUUCUUGUUUUGUUAAUACUUGUUUUACUUACAGCUUUUGGGUCAAAUGUCCUCGUUAAAAUGGCUUUCUCUAGCGACUUUAUGUUUUACGUUUCUGUUUGUAACUGACAUUUGACCUCCUUACUUGCUUCCUUAUACCGGUUACUUGCUUCCUUGUCUUUGCUUGCUUCCUUGUACCGGUUUCCAAGGUGAAGCCAUUUGCAGGGUCGCUGGGUUUCCCCCUCCACCCGAAAGUCUUGCAUGACCCGGGGUGGGCGGGAUAAGGUGCAGUUUUUUGAGCGUUGGGCUGGGGGCCUCCAGGAAGCUGAAGCGGAAAUUGCCUAGGCCCCUGGGGCAUCGGAGGUCCUACCGCAGCUCCUCGUAGGUGGUGGGGGCGCAGCGGCGGUCCCCACUCAGUCCUGGUGGGGCCGCACGUAACUGUACUGAGAUAUGCAUAAGCCCUUUGACUACGCAUGGAGAAUUUUACCUCCGAGAGACACGCAAGUGGCCCUGUGCAAGUUUCAACUGCGAGGGGGCGGGGAAUUCCGCACACAGGAUUGGAGAAUUUAUGUCUUGUGUGGUAACAUUUCAGCCGGUGGGCGGCGGGGAUUAGGCGUGAAGCGGUUCAGUAGGCAGAGGUUUUCGGACGCCCUCCGGUGAAGCCACCUGUUGAUGUAUUUGACUUUCUGUCCUUGUUCCUUGUCCCAUCUGGAGCAUUUCCAGUUCUGCUUUUGCGGAGCAGCAGGUCUGAGCUUGUCCGGCGAGGGUGGGAGUUGGUCCCGGCGGAGAUCCAGUGGGAAGAGCCGACGGCUGCCCGGGCAACUCCCCCACUGGAAAGGAUUCUGAAAGAAAUGAAGUCAGCCCUCAGAAAUGAAGUUGACUGCCUGCUGGCUUUCUGUUGACUGGCCCGGAGCUGUACUUCUGCAGACCCUUGUGAGCUUCUCUAGUCUAAGAGUAGGAUGUCUGCUGAGGUCAUCCAUCAGGUCGAAGAAGCACUUGACACAGAUGAGAAGGAGAUGCUGCUCUUUUUGUGCCGGGAUGUUGCUAUAGAUGUGGUUCCACCUAAUGUCAGGGACCUUCUGGAUAUUUUACGUGAAAGAGGUAAGCUGUCUGUCGGGGACUUGGCUGAACUGCUCUACAGAGUGAGGCGAUUUGACCUGCUCAAACGGAUCUUGAAGAUGGACAGAAAAGCUGUGGAGACCUACCUGCUCAGGAACCCUCACCUUGUUUCGGACUAUAGAGUGCUGAUGGCAGAGAUUGGUGAGGAUUUGGAUAAAUCUGAUGUAUCCUCAUUAAUUUUCCUCAUGAAGGAUUACAUGGGCCGAGGCAAGAUAAACAAGGAGAAGAGUUUCUUGGACCUUGUGGUUGAGUUGGAGAAACUAAAUCUGGUUGCCCCAGAUCAACUGGAUUUAUUAGAAAAAUGCCUAAAGAACAUCCACAGAAUAGACCUGAAGACAAAAAUCCAGAAAUACAAGCAGUCUGCUCAAGGAGCAGGGACAGGUUAUAAGAAUGUUCUCCAAGCAGCAAUCCAAAAGAGUCUCAAGGAUCCUUCAAAUAACUUCAGGCUCCACAAUGGGAGAAGUAAAGAACAAAGACUUAAGGAGCAACUUGGCACUCAACAAGAACCAGUGAAGACAUCCAUUCAGGAAUCAGCAGCUUUUAUGCCUCAGAGCCUACCUGAAGAGAGAUACAAGAUGAAGAGCAAGCCCCUAGGAAUCUGCCUGAUAAUUGAUUGCAUUGGCAAUGAGACAGAGCUUCUUCAAGACACCUUCACUUCCCUGGGCUAUGAAGUCCAGAAAUUCUUGCAUCUCAGUGUGAAAGAUAUAGCCGAGAUUCUUGGCCAAUUUGCCUGUAUGACCAAGCACCGAGACUACGAUAGCUUUGUGUGUGUCCUAGUGAGCCGAGGAGGCUCCCAGAGCGUGUAUGGUGUGGAUCAGACUCACUCGGGACUCCCCCUGCAUCACAUCAGGAGGAUGUUCAUGGGAGAUUCAUGCCCUUAUCUAGCAGGGAAGCCAAAGGUGUUUUUUAUUCAGAACUAUGUAGUGUCAGAGGGCCAGCUGGAGGACAGCAGCCUCUUGGAGGUAGAUGGGCCAGCAAUGAAGAAUGUGGAAUUCAAGGCUCAGCAGCGAGGGCUGAGCACAGUUCACCGAGAAGCUGACUUCUUCUGGAGCCUGUGCACUGCGGAUGUGUCCCUGCUGGAGCGGUCCUGCAGCUCACCGUCCCUGUACCUGCAGUGCCUCUCCCAGAAACUGAGACAAGAAAGAAAACGCCCACUCCUGGAUCUCCACAUUGAACUCAAUGGCCACAUAUAUGAUUGGAACAGCAGAGUUUCUGCCAAGGAGAAAUACUAUGUCUGGCUGCAGCACACUCUGAGGAAGAAACUUAUCCUCUCCUACACAUAAGAAACCAAAAGGCCAGGCGCAGUGGCUCAUGCCUGUAAUCCCAGCACUUUGGGAGGCCAAAGAGGGCAGAUCACUUCAGGUCAGGAGUUCGAGACCAGCCCGGCCAACAUGGUCACGCUGUAAUUCUUGGAGAGCAUGCUGUAGCUUGAGUGCAGAAUUCUCAUCAGUUUUAUCUUUGUAUCUCUCCUAAACACUACCGGAUGAAGAGCCUGGCACACACAUAAAUAUAUAUUGAAUGAAUCAGUGAUGGAAUGAAAAGAGAAAUGAUGGAUCUCCUAAAUUUUAACUUUUAUAAAAUAUUUUGAUAUAUUCAUGACCUUACUUUACCAAGCAAUGUACUGAACAUGAUGUAAUCUUUGUGUUGAAAUCUUGAGUCUGGCUAUGUUUCUAUUUUAAAUUCAUAAAGAAUUCUAACAGAAGAGGAAUUCAAAGAAUGUCAUAAAUCGAUGUUUCUCCGUGGAUGAAGGAACUGUUUUAUUCACUUGCUGAUAAUUCAGCCUAAUCCAGUUUGACAUCAUAUAAAUAAGUAGUUGAAUUAUGGAUUUAAAAUACAUAUUCUUUUCUAACUA